AAGGGACAUGACUUAGACAACUAAUUUUGUCCCUCCCAAAAACCCAAUUCAUCCAUUUUUACUACAUGUUAUCAUACACCCUCACUAAUAUGAUUAUACCCCUCAAAAAUAUAAAAAUAAUAAAAUUUCAAUAAAUCCCUAAUAUUCUCUUAUCCUAACAAACUUUAUCCUAACAACCUACCAACUCACACCCCACCUCACUACCCUUACCCCUACCCCACUAACCGAUACACCCUCACUAAUAUGAUUAUACCCCUCAAAAAUAUAAAAAUAAUAAAAUUUCAAUAAAUCCCUAAUAUUUUCUUAUCCUAACAAACUUUAUCCUAACAACCUACCAACUCACUACCCUUACCCCUACCCCACUAACCCCCCCCCUCACGUUUUUUAUCCCUUUGAACAAAUAAACAAAAAGCACGGGAAGGGAAGAAUAAAAAAGGGCAGGACGGAUCCCCCCACCCCAAAAAAAAAUAAUUUUGAAAAGGAAUUCCAUUUUUGGUAUUCAAUUAAAAAAGAGGGCCCACAGAAUAAUUUGACUCUACGCCAUAUUUCUUUUCUUCUCCAAAAAAAAUCAUCAACAGAUACACCACACUAACACCGCUCGUUCCAUCGUCACUCUCAUGAACACACAGAUACAGACGCACAAGACUCACCGAUUCCACACAAUUUAAACUCAGAUGAUAACCACACCUCACGAUAUAUGGAUUCACAUACUACAACACAUACAAACUGAGCACGCACACACAGAAGAGAGGUCGAGAGAGAUCGAUUGAGAGAGAUAGAGAGAAAACAGAGGUCGAUUGAGAGAGUAGGAGAUAUCGAGAGAGGAAAGGAAGGGACGAGGGGUUGAUUGGUUCCGGCGAGAUGAAAGCGGAAAAACCAGAGCCAUUCCGAUGAAGCUUUCACCGGGAAACGUCAAAAUUGGCCAAAAAUCUGUUUGAAUUCACCGGAGAUGGUCACCCACCUCCAAAAUUCGAUCCAAAUCGGCGACCAACACUUGAGAAAUACCUUCGUACCACUGUUCUCCGGCCUUACCUGAGCUCGCCGGAGCUCUGUUCUGAUCAGUUCACCGGAAAAUUGGUUAAAAACUGGUAAGUGAGCAUUCAAAGUUUCCGUAAUUCAUAGGUACUGUUUCGGAUUUGCUCGGUUUUGGGGGGGGGGUUUGCUCGAGUUGGAAGAUUUGAGUUGAGUUCGUUGGAUCGAGUCGUGAAUUUGGUUCUGGUCCGUUGGCAACAUCAACAAUUCGGUGUUGAAAUAAAUUAGAGGUCUUGCCUCUUGGAACGAAAAGCAGACAAAAUUGCAAACAUGAACACUUUUGUUUACGCCAAUUCAGUGACACCAAACAUGCGAAAAACUGAACCAUGUUUAGAUUCCUAAGAAAGCGUAGUGUUGGAACUGUUGAUAGUGCUUUGUUUAUCUUUGUAUCAGAAAAAACCUUUCACUCAUUCAUUGUUUUGUUGAUUGAUAAUGUGAGGGAGAGUUUGCAAUUUACGUUUUCAUGUUCUUGCUUGACAUUGUUGACUAAUUUAUUUGAUUUCUCGACUUUCUUAUAAGCAGUUUGUUGUUUAUUAG